GGGUCUGUAGCUCAGUGGUUAGAGCAGGGGACUCAUAAUCCCUUGGUCGUAGGUUCGAGCCCUACCAGACCCACCA
rnacentral:tRNA from 2 species